AAGAAAUAAAUGCAUCUGAAUCAAACAUACAGAGUAGUGAAAUAUAGUAAAUAUAUGUACAACAUUAUUUGGCAUAGAAAACAUAAUUUCUAAAAUCAAUAACCUUAAAUAUGUAAUCAUAACUAGGUAAUCGGGGGGUAUAUGCGAAGGAUAUAUGGAAGGCAUAAAAAAUAAAUAAAUAAAACUUAAAUUCCAAAGCUAGGACAAAAAACUAAGAGUUAGUUAAUAAACAAUACAGCAGCAAUAUUCGGAUUCAAAGAUAAACAGUGUUGUUCAGGAUAGUGGAACCUGAGUAGUGCAAGAUGAAGUUCAUGAAAAAAAAAUAUACAUAAUAGAAAUAUAUGAUAAAAAUCUAUAAAAAAUUAUUAUAAACAAAUUUUAAUGGAAUCAAUCCAUAAAAACCAGAAUAUCUAGAUCUGUAUUUAAACCACUGAGGUUUUUAGUUUAGAAAUCCAUUCUGUUUCUUUCAAGGCCAAUCGUUUUUCGAUAUCGCCUUCUCUCCAAUGGGGGGGGUGGCUAUAUCGAUACCGAUGCAACUGAAAUUUUCACAUUUUAAUUCUUUACAAUUAUUACAAUGCCUCGGUACUCUAU